ACUCCCUCCGUCCUAAUAUAUAAGGCGUAACCACUUUUUGUUCAUAUCUCAUAAUAUAAGGCGUGCUCUCUCACAAACAUUAAUGUAGCACUAUUAGUGCUGAGAGGGAGAGAAUUAAAUACGUUCUUGGUCUUUGAAUCAAAGGGUACGCCUUAUAUACUAGGACGGAGGGAGU
rfam:Sorghum bicolor cultivar BTx623 chromosome 4, whole genome shotgun sequence.